AUGCUCACAUUGACAGUGCAUAUAUUAAAACUGAAGGAAUAUGGAGAAAAUUAGCAUGGUCCCUCAGCAAUGAUGGCUUAGAAACUCAAGAGGUGCUUGCUUUUGUG
ensembl:snRNA U6 U6 spliceosomal RNA